rnacentral:rRNA from 1 species
AGCGAACGCUGGCGGCAGGCCUAACACAUGCAAGUCGAACGAACCUUUCGGGGUUAGUGGCGGACGGGUGCGUAACACGUGGGAACGUGCCUUUAGGUUCGGAAUAACUCAGGGAAACUUGUGCUAAUACCGAAUGUGCCCUUCGGGGGAAAGAUUAAUCGCCUUUAGAGCGGCCCGCGUCUGAUUAGCUAGUUGGUUGAGGUAAUGGCUCACCAAGGCGACGAUCAGUAGCUGGUCUGAGAGGAUGAUCAGCCACAUUGGGACUGAGACACGGCCCAGACUCCUACGGGAGGCAGCAGUGGGGAAUCUUGCGCAAUGGGCGAAAGCCUGACGCAGCCAUGCCGCGUGAAUGAUGAAGGUCUUAGGAUUGUAAAAUUCUUUCACCGGGGACGAUAAUGACGGUAACCGGAGAAGAAGCCCCGGCUAACUUCGUG